rnacentral:rRNA from 1 species
UACGGAGGGGGCUAGCGUUGUUCGGAAUUACUGGGCGUAAAGCGCACGUAGGCGGCUUUGUAAGUUAGAGGUGAAAGCCCGGGGCUCAACUCCGGAAUUGCCUUUAAGACUGCAUCGCUAGAAUUGUGGAGAGGUAAGUGGAAUUCCGAGUGUAGAGGUGAAAUUCGUAGAUAUUCGGAAGAACACCAGUGGCGAAGGCGGCGAGCUGGUCCAUUACUGACGCUGAGGCGCGACAGCGUGGGGAGCAAACAGG